rnacentral:rRNA from 1 species
GACCCCAGGUCAGGCGGGACUACCCGCUGAAUUU